ensembl:lincRNA
CAUCCUGAGGUCACUGUCUGGUGUGAGGGGAGGACAGCUGAUAACUACGUGGUUAUGCAGUGUUCCCAGGCAUCACUGGUCCCCAGCCAUGGCCUCUGCCUACCACUGCCACAAAUACAGAAGGAAUGCCAUCCCCUUCAGACUCAGCUUUAAUCCUCAGAGUUUCAUCUAGUCCUUUAUGGGCAGAUGUUACCCAAACCCAAAAUUUCCACAGGCCCUCUUGAUUUUUUCACAGUGAUCUAGAUCAGACAUUGAGCCUAUGCAUAUUACACCCCUGCACUGACUUUCUGAUUUCCAAAGCAAUUCUACAAUCUCUGCAACCCACUCAAAGUUUUUCUUUACCAUCUGGAGCCCUUCCAGAGUUGCUUCUUUGAGGUCACAAUAAGACUGUUUGUCUUUCUGUUUGCUUUGAUCUCUUGAUGGCCAGAGUCUCUGGGUAUCAUUAUCAGUAACAUCAUCAGCAACAACAACUUCUCUGGUGGUUACAUCAACACCAAAUUCAAUCUUUGUGUCAACUUGUACACAGUUCUGUGGCAACCAGGAUUUCUCCAGUAUUUUAAAAAUAACCUGUGCAGCAUGACUCACGCUAGCUACUUCACUUUGGCCUUUACCAAGUCCAGCACAGCAAAAUUUCACAGCAAUUCACUGUUUCUCAUUACUGGCAGCACCCUUGAAAACAUCUCCACAUUAGGCAUGGUUAGGUGUACUCUCCACCAGGCAACAGAAGACUCUGUGGAUUAGAGCAAAGGAAAGGAAUGUGGACAGAUGCAUAGGGAAAAUGAAAUGCUGGAGAAAGUGACCUGACUUGUUUCAGGCCAGUACUCCUACCGAGAGCUAGAAAACAUGGACAAAACUGUAGGAAGGAACCAGAAAGCUAGCAAAAGAACAAGGACUUGGGGUUACAGAGCCCAGAGAGAAGGUAAGCCAGGACCAGGAAACUCAGCUUUGGGUGUCGUUUUUCCACAGAGGUACCUGAUGAUUUUCCAGCAGAAGCCGAGGGGCUGAGAGGUGGAGAGCAACCAAAUGGCCAUGUCUAAGACAGCCUUCUGCUGUAAAGGGUUCUACAGGACAUGCUGUACAGGGGAAAGCACCAGCCACCAUAAGACUUUGAGCACUUGAACUGGGGCUGGUGCAAUUGAGGGAUUAAAAUUUUGAUUUGAUUUAAUUGUAAUUACUCUAUAGUUAGUCUCAAUAGCCUCAUGAGGCUACUGCUUAGCACAGGUCUGGAGCCUCCCUUAGGUCCUGAGAAGGGCAGUGCAGCCACCUGGGAAGUGUGUGGGCUUUGUAGAUGACCAAUGCUUGGUUUGAAUCUUGCCUUGCCCCAUAGUAACCAUGCAAACUUGGUGAAUAAUUCCCCCCUCUGUGUUCAGUUUCUUCAUCUAUAAAAGGAGAAUAAAUAGGGCCAGGUGUGGUGGCUCACACCUGUAAUCCUAGCACUUUGGGAGGCCAAGGCAGGCAGAUCAUGAGGUCAGGAGUUCGAGACCAGACUGACCAACAUGGUGAAACCCCGUCUCUACUAAAAACACAAAAAUUAGCAAGGUGUAGUGGCACGCGCCUGUAAUCCCAGCUACUCAGGAGGUUGAGGCAGGAGAAUCGCUUGAAUCUGGGAGGCAGAGGUUGCAGUGAGCCAAGAUGGCGCCACUGCACUCCAGCCUGAGUGACAGAGUGAGACUCUGUCUCAAAAAAAUAAAUAAAUAAAAGAAUAAAUAAAGUAAAGCCUACCCCAUAAAAAGGUUUCACGUACUGGUGCCUG